GAUUUCAACUGGGUGUUGCUUAAGAAGCAGGUGGAGGGAGACGCUGGGGUUAAAGAAGCCAUUGACGUUGCGAGAGAGAUUGAAGAGUGUACGGUACUCUAAGCGGGAAAUUAAAUGAGAGAGAGAGAGAGAGAGACAGAGAGAGAGAGAGAGAGAGAGAGAAAGCA